GACGUAGGGGGCAAGCGUUAUUCGGAAUUAUUGGGCGUAAAGCGCUCGUAGGCGGGACUGGAAGUCCGUGUUGAAAGACCUCGGCUCAACUGAGGGACCGGCUCGGAUACUCUAGUUCUUGAGGCAAUCAGAGGGUGAUGGAAUUCCCGGUGUAGCGGUGAAAUGCGUAGAUAUCGGGAAGAACACCUAUGGCGAAGGCAGCUCUCUGGGACGGUACUGACGCUGAGACGCGAAAGCGUGGGGAGCGAACAGG
rnacentral:rRNA from 1 species